GAUUUAUGUCGAUCUUUAUUGAAUAAUAAUAAUAAUCUAUUUUUCCAUCAUGAGCAGGGAUUUUGAUGUCUACAUUUGACAUGAAGGAUGAAUCCAAGGUCCCUCUCAUUCCAAAAGCAUGGUUGAUUAUUUCUGCAGUUCCCUUUACUAUGUUCUUCUUUUAGCAUGGUCACAUCCACAUAAUCCAUGCCCAUGUUGUGAAAAAUACUCCUACUCAAUAAUUUUUGAUUGACUGUUUUAUGAACCUGCAGGAAGUGAUUUGGCAAGGUGAGAUUGGUGGAGUAUAUGCGGCUUUGGAUACAUUCAAGGCUGAAAAGGCAUUUCCUAUGUGCAAACUCACACGUUUGUUGCGUGAUUCAUUGGGUGGGAGGACUAAGACAUGUAUAAUUGGUGGGCCUAUCAAAAUUGGACUGGGCCUAUCCUGUUCAUUUGGUGGACUUAAAAAUAGGCCCGUGUUUGACUUACAGGCCUAAAAUUAGAUCAAGUUGGGACCAUGGGGGCCAGGUUCAUACAGGACUUGUCUCUAUGGGAACUGCACCAAAAUGUAUGAAUUUAGUUUUCCUUUAAAAAAAAAAAAAUUUAUUUUCUUGGUGAUUUUUAUUUUCUCAGUUCUCAUUUAUUGGAUAUGUUCAUUUGAAUCCUUUUCUUAUGUAUAUAAGUGUAUAUGUUCCAUGUUUAUGGUGGAGAUUGUUGGAGAGUUGCAAGCCUUAAUCUCUAAGGAGACUCGUGGGGCUUCCAACCUCUUCUCAACAAACCUUCUUUUACUACUGUAAAAUUCAUGCUACUUGGUUAGAGCUGAAGACCUUACCUUUUUUUUAUUUUUUUAUUUUUUAUUUUUUAUCGACGAUUGCAUCAUAUUGCAUUUGCACCAUCAGAUGUUGGUAGUGGGAGGAAUGCUAAUACUGGAAAGGAUAAUGGGGUCAAUCAAAGCACCGACAGAGGCCUUACAUCCACCUCUUCACCAGUUUCGCAGGACAUAGAAAAUAAGGCAACCAUUCCAACCAUGAGGUAAACUUCAUUUAUAGAUUUU